AUCUAUGGCCAUGCUACCCUGAACAAGCCCGAUCCCAUCUGAUCUCAGAAGCUAAGCAGGGUUGGGCCUGGUUAGUACUUGGAUAGGAGACCACCUAGGAAGACCAGGUGCUGUAGGUG
rnacentral:rRNA from 1 species